ACUCCUACGGGAGGCAGCAGUGGGGAAUAUUGCACAAUGGGCGCAAGCCUGAUGCAGCCAUGCCGCGUGUAUGAAGAAGGCCUUCGGGUUGUAAAGUACUUUCAGCAGUGAGGAAGGUGGUGUCGUUAAUAGCGGCAUCAUUUGACGUUAGCUGCAGAAGAAGCACCGGCUAACUCCGUGCCAGCAGCCGCGGUAAUACGGAGGGUGCGAGCGUUAAUCGGAAUUACUGGGCGUAAAGCGCAUGCAGGUGGUUUGUUAAGUCAGAUGUGAAAGCCCGGGGCUCAACCUCGGAAUUGCAUUUGAAACUGGCAGACUAGAGUACUGUAGAGGGGGGUAGAAUUUCAGGUGUAGCGGUGAAAUGCGUAGAGAUCUGAAGGAAUACCGGUGGCGAAGGCGGCCCCCUGGACAGAUACUGACACUCAGAUGCGAAAGCGUGGGGAGCAAACAGGAUUAGAUACCCUGGUAGGAUAGCG
rnacentral:rRNA from 1 species